GAUGAAGAACGUAGCGAAAUGCGAUACUUGGUGUGAAUUGCAGAAUCCCGUGAACCAUCGAGUCUUUGAACGCAAGUUGCGCCCGAAGCCAUCAGGUUGAGGGCACGUCUGCCUGGUCGUCACAUAUCGUUGCCCAAUGCCUAUUGCAGUGCAAUAGGAAUUUCUAGGGCGAAUGAUGGCUUCCCGUGAGCGUUGUUGCCUCGCGGUUGGUUGAAAAUCGAGUCCUUGGUAGGGUGUGCCAUGGUAGAUGGUGGUCGAGUUAGAACGAUACCGAUCAUGUGCAUGCUCCCCAAAAUAUGGCCUCUAUGACCCACACGCGUCUUUUGACGCUCAUGACGAGACCUCAGGUCAGGCGGGGCUACCCGCUGAAUUUAAGCAUAUCAAUAAGCGGAGGA
rnacentral:misc_RNA from 1 species